UAUCAAUUGAUACUUUUUAGUUUUUAGUUUCGACCUAAAAUUAGCUUUCAGCCUUUGAUAG
rnacentral:tRNA from 1 species